AAUAGAUACCCGGGUAGUCCACGCCGUAAACGAUGGAUACUAGUUGUUGGAGGACUCGACCCCUUCAGUGACGACGCUAACGCAUUAAGUAUCCCGCCUGGGGAGUACGGUCGCAAGAUUAAAACUCAAAGGAAUAGACGGGGACCCACACAAGCGGUGGAGCACCUGGCUUAAUUCGAUACUGAGCGAGGAACCUUACCUGGACUUGACAUCCCGAGAAUUCUCUAGAAAUAGGGAAGUGCCUUCUGGAACUCGGUGACAGGUGCUGCAUGGUUGUCGUCAGCUCGUGCCUUGAGGUGUUCGGUUAAGUCCGUAAACGAGCGCAACCCAUGUCCUGUGUUGUAUUUCUCACAGGAGACUGCCGAUUCAAAAUCGGAGGAAGGUAUGGAUGACGUCAAAUCAGCAUGGCCCUUAUGUCCAGGGCUGCACAGGUGCUACAAUGGAUGGUACAACGGGUAGCAAUGCCGCAAGGCGGAGCCAAUCCUUAAAGCCAUCCCAAGUUCGGAUUGGGGGCCUGCAACUCGCCCUAUG
rnacentral:rRNA from 1 species